UACGUAGGGGGCAAGCGUUGUCCGGAUUUACUGGGUGUAAAGGGCGCGUAGGCGGGAUGGCAAGUCAGAUGUGAAAUCCACGGGCUCAACCCGUGAACUGCAUUUGAAACUGUUAUUCUUGAGUAUCGGAGAGGCAAGCGGAAUUCCUAGUGUAGCGGUGAAAUGCGUAGAUAUUAGGAGGAACACCAGUGGCGAAGGCGGCUUGCUGGACGACAACCGACGCUGAGACACGAAAGCGUGGGGAGCAAAC
rnacentral:rRNA from 1 species